AUUGAACGCUGGCAGCAGGCCUAACACAUGCAAGUCGAGCGGAGCGGCGGACGGGUGAGUAAAGCCUAGUAAUCUGCCUGGUAGUGGGGGAUAACGUCCGGAAAAGGGCGCUAAUAACGGAUACUAUCAGAUGAGCCUAGGUCGGAUUAGCUAGUUGGUGGGGUAAAGGCCUACCAAGGGGACGAUCCGUAACUGGUCUGCGAGGAUGAUCAGUCACACUGGAACUGAGACACGGUCCAGACUCCGAGGGGGGGCAGCAGUGGGGAAUAUUGGACAAUGGGCGAAAGCCUGAUCCAGCCAUGCCGCGGGUUUGAAGAAGGUUUUCGGAUUGUAAAGCACUUUAAGUUGUGAGGCGUUACCAACAGAAUAAGCACCGGCUAACUUCGUGCCAGCAGCCGCGGUAUUC
rnacentral:rRNA from 1 species